GCUGUGGUGGCAUAGUCAUUAAGCACUCAGCUGUUAACUGAAAGGUUGUUGGUUUGAACCCACCAGCAGCU
rnacentral:tRNA from 1 species